CAGCAGCCGCGGUAAUACGAAGGGGGCUAGUGUUGCUCGGAAUGACUGGGCGUAAAGGGCGCGUAGGCGGCGAUCAAAGUCAGGCGUGAAAUUCCUGGGCUCAACCUGGGGGCUGCGCUUGAUACUUGGUUGCUUGAGUGGGGAAGAGGGUCGUGGAAUUCCCAGUGUAGAGGUGAAAUUCGUAGAUAUUGGGAAGAACACCGGUGGCGAAGGCGGCGACCUGGUCCUUGACUGACGCUGAGGCGCGAAAGCGUGGGGAGCAAACAGGAUUAGAUACCCCCGUAGUCCCUGUCUCUUAUAC
rnacentral:rRNA from 1 species